rnacentral:rRNA from 1 species
CCUACGGGUGACUGCAGUGGGGAAUAUUGCACAAUGGGGGAAACCCUGAUGCAGCGACGCCGCGUGAGCGAUGAAGUAUUUCGGUAUGUAAAGCUCUAUCAGCAGGGAAGAAAAUGACGGUACCUGACUAAGAAGCGACUGCCAAAUACGUGCCAGCAGCCGGGGUAAUACGUAGGGGGCAAGCGUUAUCCGGAUUUAAUGGGUGGAAAGGGAGCGGAGACGGCGAUGCAAGCCAGAUGGGAAAGCCCGGGGCUCAACCUCGGGACUGCCAUUGGAACUGUACAGCUGGAGUGUAGGAGAGGAAGGUGGAAUUCCAAGUGUAGCGGUGAAAUGCGUAGAUAUAAGGAGGAACACCAGUGGCGAAGGCGGCGUGCUGGACGAUGACUGACGUUGAGGCUCGAAAGCGUGGGGAGCAAACAGGAUUAGAUACCCCGGUAGUC